rnacentral:antisense_RNA from 1 species
UGUUAUGGUGGGACGUGACGGGCGAGCCUUAAGGCUCGCUAGUUUCUCGUAUGCUGGUCUACGAACCCUGUUACGUCUCACCACCCCC